rnacentral:tRNA from 1 species
GGAAAGAUGACAGAGUGGUUAAAUGUGCCAGUUUGGAAGACUGGUUUCUUUAAGGAAACGUGGGUUCGAAUCCCACUCUUUCCG